rnacentral:rRNA from 1 species
CGCAGGCUGCAACCCGCCUGCGUGAAGUUGGAAUCGCUAGUAAUCGCGGAUCAGCAUGCCGCGGUGAAUACGUUCCCGGGCCUUGUACACACCGCCCGUCACACCAUGAGAGUCGGGAACACCCGAAGUCCGUAGCCUAACCGCAAGGGGGGGCGCGGCCGAAGGUGGGUUCGAUAAUUGGGGUGAAGUCGUAACAAGGUAGC